rnacentral:rRNA from 1 species
ACGGGAGGCAGCAGUGGGGAAUAUUGGACAAUGGGGGAAACCCUGAUCCAGCGACGCCGCGUGAGUGAAGAAGUAUUUCGGUAUGUAAAGCUCUUUAAGCAGGAAAGAUAAUGACGGUACCUGACUAAGAAGCACCGGCUAAAUACGUGCCAGCAGCCGCGGUAAUACGUAUGGUGCAAGGGUUAUCCGGAUUUACUGGGUGUAAAGGGAGCGUAGACGGCAUGGCAAGCCAGAUGUGAAAGGUGGGGGCUCAACUCCCAAGCUGCAUUUGGAACUGUCAAGCUAGAGUAUCGGAGAGGUAAGUGGAAUUCCUAGUGUAGCGGUGAAAUGCGUAGAUAUUAGGAGGAACACCAGUGGCGAAGGCGGCUUACUGGACGAUAACUGACGUUGAGGCUCGAAAGCGUGGGGAGCAAACAGGAUUAGAUACCCUGGUA